CAUGUCUAGUCCAUCACCGUGUUCAGCACCGGCACUGUUUCAUUGAUUGUUCCCCUUUUAGACUCUAAGGGACGCUGUUGGUCAGCAAAACAUUUUCUGUGCUUCGUUGUCAUCUAGUCCACCCCACCCCCGUCUGACUACAUAAUACAGAGGACUCUGGGUUUUAUCGAGGUUUAGGUGAUGCCGUCUCAUAGAUUCUCAUAUGAAGGUUGAAAACGUGUUCUUAGGCUGCCACAGCAAGGAUUUAUAGGAACCACUUUCACCAAAACUUUUUUGGAUACACAGACACAGAUUUUUUGUUCUUUGUUGCUAUGAUGGCAGUUGCGGGAUUUGUCUUCGACAAAUGCGCAAGAUGGCGAGUAUUUCAAGGACUGCUACGGAAAUUACAAAUGCUGCUUUUCCUGCUGUUUGUUGCUAACGUGGUUGAUGGUCAGAUUCGUUAUUCUAUACCAGAGGAGAUGAAGAAAGGCUCUGUUAUCGGUAAUGUGGCUCAAGAUCUCGGGUUGGAUCUGAGAAGGCUCCGUGCAGGGCGGGCCCGUAUCGUGAGUGGAGAAAACAUCCAGUACACCGAGCUGAAGACAGACAAAGGGACUCUGGUCGUGAAUGAGAGAAUUGACCGAGAGCAGCUCUGUGGAGACACGACUCCGUGUAGCUUCAGCUUUGAGAUGAUUUUAGAGAAUCCAAUGGAGUUACACAGAAUAACUGUCGAGGUUUUGGACAUAAAUGAUCACGCUCCUGUAUUCCCUGAUAAUGAUAAGCCUAUCCGUGUUGAAAUUAGUGAAUCGGCUGCAAUCGGGGUCCGAUUUCCACUGCAGAGUGCAGACGAUUUUGAUGUCGGACAAAACGCUUUACAAGAUUACAUUUUAUCAGCCAACGACAAUUUUAUACUGAAGCAACAUGCGAAUCCAGACGGAAAUAAAUAUGUUGAAAUGGUGCUCCAGAAGCCUUUAGACCGAGAGCGACAUCCACACUUGUCGUUAAAACUGAUCGCAGUCGACGGAGGAACACCACAGAGAUCUGGUACAGUAAAUAUAGAAAUCACUGUCUUAGAUGCGAACGACAAUAUUCCGAUUUUUAACCAAUCCGUGUAUAAAGCCUCUGUGUUUGAAAACACAAUGAAGGGCACAAGAGUUAUAACAGUAAAUGCCACAGACGCUGACAGUGGUUCAAAUGGAGUCAUCACUUACAGUUUGUCCAAGAAGAAAGGCAGUGCGUCAGAUUUUUUUAUCAUAAAUGAAAAAACAGGCACUAUAUCUGUUAAUGGUCCCAUAGAUUAUGAAAAGGACAGAAAGUACGAGGUGAGAGUGGAGGCGAGGGAUCAAGGUGGAUUAACAGGAACAAGUAAAGUUAUAUUUGAUGUUUUUGAUGUUAACGACAAUGCUCCAGUGAUCAACAUUAUGUCGUUUUCUAGUCCUGUAUCUGAAGAUGCUCCUCCUGGUACAACGAUUGCUAUUUUGAAUAUCAAAGAUGCAGAUUCUGAUAAAAAUGGACAAAUAAAAUGUUCAGUGGAAGGAAAACUGCCUUUCAAAAUCGUCUCAUCUCUGACAAACUAUUAUAAUUUGAUCUCAGAUCAACAUUUUGAUAGAGAAUCUGUCUCAGAAUAUAACAUCACAAUAACAGCCACUGAUUUCGGUUCUCCGCCUCUUUCCACCUCCACAAAAUUGCACCUUAAGAUUUCUGACGUAAAUGACAACGCGCCAUUAUUUGACAAAACAAUUUACUCUGGUUACAUCGCAGAAAAUAAUCCACCUGGAGUAUCCAUAUUUACAGUCAGCGCCAGAGACUCAGAUUGGGGCCAAAACGCAAGAAUCUCGUAUAUUUUAGAGGAUACACAGGUCAGUGGAAGUCCAGUCUCGACUUAUGUGAGUUUAAACUCUGAAACUGGAGUUCUCAGCGCAGUUCGUUCUCUUGAUUAUGAGCAAAUCAAAUAUCUUCAGCUGGUAGUCAAAGCUCAGGAUGGAGGCUCCCCUCCACUCAGCAGCAACGUGACAGUGAAAAUAGUGAUCCAGGACCAGAACGACAACCCCCCUCAGGUCCUGUACCCGGUCCAGACUGGUGGCUCUCUGGUGGCUGAGAUGGUGCCUCGUGCAGCAGAUGUGGGCUAUCUGGUGACUAAAGUGGUGGCUGUGGAUGUGGACUCUGGACAGAAUGCCUGGCUGUCGUAUAAACUGCAGAAAGCCACAGACAGGGCGCUGUUUGAAGUGGGCUUACAGAAUGGAGAAAUCCGAACUAUCCGCCAAGUGAGUGAUAAAGAUGCUGUGAAACAAAGACUGACUGUGAUAGUGGAGGACAACGGGCAGCCGUCUCGUUCAGCUACAGUCAUCGUGAACGUGGCGGUGGCGGACAGCUUCCCUGAAGUGCUGUCAGAGUUCACUGACUUUACACACGACAAGGAGUACAAUGACAACCUGACUUUUUACUUAGUGCUGGCUUUGGCUGUAGUGUCCUUCCUCUUCAUCACGUGUUUGGUGGUCAUUAUAUCCGUGAAAAUCUACAGAUGGAGACAGUCUCGUAUCCUGUAUCACUCCAGUCUUCCAGUGAUUCCCUAUUAUCCUCCACGUUACUCAGACACUCUGGGCACAGGGACUCUUCCACACGUGUACAAUUACGAGGUGUGCAGGACGACUGACUCGAGAAAGAGUGACUGUAAGUUCGGCAGAGCUGGUAGUCAGAACGUGCUGAUAAUGGACCCCAGUUCUACAGGGACCAUGCAGAGGAUACAGAGUGAGAAGAGCAUCCUGGAUGAGCCAGACUCUCCACUGGAGGUAUUUAAAACUUGACAUUUGGCAUUGUUUUUUUUUAUCCAUAUAGAUUGGUUGAUUGCAGUUGACAUCUUAAACUUUACAUUUAGCACCAUGGAUAACGCCCUCUCUGACCGUAGGUCAUGGUAAUUUUUGUCAGCCCCUGAAAGCUGCUAUAUUCAAAAGAUAAUAUUUCGACGUCAUGGUUUAUUGUCAGGUCAUAACCAUUUAAAUACAUUUUGUCCCUAUCUUUAUUGGUAUUUACGUUUUUAAGUUUGAUCAGCUCGUUCUUUUUGAUUCAGUUUGAGACCCUGGAAUCUGAAACGUAAGGGAAGAAUUUUUAAGGUGUUGCAGCUGAGAGUUAAGAUCAUAUAUAACUUCUUCAACCCGUAUUUAGCUCUGCUGCGUCAUCUUCAAAUGUACAUUUCUAACUUAUGAUUAAUACCAAAGUACGUCAGUGUAAAUGAUAUAUUAUUGGUAUGAGCUUUUUAAGCUAAGUCUGACAUGAAGAAAAAUGCAACAAAUGAGAGGCCAAAUAUAAUAUGAAUCAAAAUUGGGUUACUUCAGUAAAAAAAAGAACUUAGUUUUAAACCAUGAAAACUACUUUGGCAAUAAUUUCAUGUAUAAACAGGGUAGAGUGCAGCAGAUAACGAAUAGCAUGCAAAAAUAAAGGUAAGAGGAAAGGAUAAGAAGAGUAAUAGUUCACAUGCAAGUGAAAGUAAUAGAGCUUUUGAUGAUAGUGAUUAUAACACUUCUCAAUCUUGUUAGAAAUUAUUUAUUCAUAUCGCCUUUCACAUCUUAUUCCUUAUUUUCAUUAUGAGUGAGACACCACAUAGUUUUCUAACCGCAAUGGCAGUCACCUAUUAAAUACAAAAAUACUACACUUAAAAGCAAAUUAAUGUGUUGUCGUAUAACUACAGCACUGCACUUGCAUCAUGGCAACUUGGAAGAUGUGUUCUUGAUGUUCAGAUUUCUCGCAUUGUCCAUUCAGUUGGAUUAUUUGUUUUAAAAUGUUGGCAUUUAUCGUGCUGAUUAACUGUUAAUGUGGACUUUGGUCUUUAAAACCCUUAAGGUCAAUUCUUGGUUAUCAGUAUUGAUCACCGGAUAUCGACGGACUCUUUAUUGAGUCUAAAUGACAGUACCGCGCUCUUGGCUGCACGUGAAUUUCUCAUUCUAGACUCUAAGGGACGCUGUUGGUCAGCAAAACAUUUUCGUCGUGUCGUCAUCCAGUCCAUCCUCCCUCUGAUACCAAAGGCUCUCUGUGUUUUAUGCGGUUUAAACGUUGUAGGAGAGAGCACAGUCUCACAGAUUUUCAUGUGACAUUCGAAGACGAGAUCGUAUUUUGACAGGAUAAGGAUUUAAAGGAACCAGUUUCACCAUCAUUUCCUUUUUUCUUUGUUGCUAUGAUGGCAGUUGAAGGAUCUCUCUUCGACAAAUGCGCAAGAUGGCGAGUAUUUCAAGGACUGCUACGGAAAUUACAAAUGCUUCUUUUCCUGCUGUGUGUUGCUAACGUAGUUGAUGGUCAGAUUCGUUAUUCUAUACCAGAGGAGAUGAAGAAAGGCUCUGUUAUCGGUAAUGUGGCUCAAGACCUUGGUUUGGAUCUGAGAAGGCUCCGUUCAGGGCGGGCCCGUAUCGUGAGUGGAGAAAACAUCCAGUACACCGAGCUGAAGACAGACAAAGGGACUCUGGUCGUGAAUGAGAGGAUAGACCGAGAGCAGCUCUGUGGAGACACGACUCCGUGUAGCUUCAGCUUUGAGGUGAUUUUAGAGAAUCCAAUGGAAUUACACAGAAUAACUGUCGAGGUUUUGGACAUAAAUGACCACGCUCCUGUUUUCCCUGAUAAUGAUAAGCCUAUCCGUUUCGAAAUUAGUGAAUCAGCAGUAACCGGGGUCAAAUUUCCUCUGUCGAGUGCAGAAGAUUUUGAUGUCGGACAAAACGCUUUACAAGAUUACAUUUUGUCAACCAACGACAAUUUUAUAUUGAAGCAACAUGCAAAUCCCGACGGAAGUAAAUAUGUAGAAAUGGUGCUCCAGAAGCCUUUAGACCGAGAGCGACAUCCACACUUGUCUCUGAAACUGAUCGCAGUCGACGGAGGAACACCACAGAGAUCUGGUACAGUAAAUAUAGAAAUCACUGUCUUAGAUGCGAACGACAACGCUCCAGUUUUUAACCAAUCCGUGUAUAAAGCCUCUGUGUUUGAAAACACAAUGAAGGGCACGAGAGUUAUAACAGUAAAUGCGACGGACGCUGAUAGUGGUUCAUACGGAGCCAUCACUUAUAGUUUGUCCAAGACGAAAGGCAGUGCGGCAGAUAAUUUUAUUAUUAAUGAGAAAACAGGAACUAUAUCCGUAAAUGGUCCCCUAGAUUAUGAAAAAGAAAGAAAGUACGAAAUAAGAGUGGAAGCAAGGGAUCAAGGUGGUUUAACAGAAACAAGUAAAGUUAUAUUUGAUGUUUUUGAUGUUAAUGACAAUGCUCCAGUGAUAAACAUUAUGUCGUUUUCUAGUCCUGUAUCUGAAGAUGCUCCUCCUGGUACAACGAUUGCUAUUUUGAAUAUCAAAGAUGCGGAUUCUGAUAAAAAUGGACAAAUAAAAUGUUCAGUGGAUGGGAAACUACCAUUUAAGAUUGAAUCAUCUCUGACAAACUAUUAUAAUUUGAUCUCAGAUCAACAUUUUGAUAGAGAAUCUGUCUCAGAAUAUAACAUCACAAUAACAGCCACUGAUUUCGGUUCUCCGCCUCUUUCCACCUCCACAAAAUUGCACCUAAAGAUUUCUGACGUAAAUGACAACGCGCCAUUAUUUGACAAAACAAUUUACUCUGCUUACAUCACUGAAAAUAAUCCACCUGGAGUAUCCAUAUUUACUGUCAGCGCCAGAGACUCAGAUUGGGGCCAAAACGCAAGAAUCUCGUAUAUUUUAGAGGAUACACAGGUCAGUGGAAGUCCAGUCUCGACUUAUGUGAGUCUAAACUCUGAAACUGGAGUUCUCAGCGCAGUUCGUUCUCUUGAUUAUGAGCAAAUCAAAUAUCUUCAGCUGGUAGUCAAAGCUCAGGAUGGAGGCUCCCCUCCACUCAGCAGCAACGUGACAGUGAAAAUAGUGAUCCAGGACCAGAACGACAACCCCCCUCAGGUCCUGUACCCGGUCCAGACUGGUGGCUCUCUGGUUGCAGAGAUGGUUCCUCGUGCAGCAGAUGUGGGCUAUCUGGUGACUAAAGUGGUAGCUGUGGAUGUGGACUCUGGACAGAAUGCCUGGCUGUCGUAUAAACUGCAGAAAGCCACAGACAGGGCGCUGUUUGAAGUGGGCUUACAGAAUGGAGAAAUCCGAACUAUCCGCCAAGUGAGUGAUAAAGAUGCUGUGAAACAAAGACUGACUGUGAUAGUGGAGGACAACGGGCAGCCGUCUCGUUCAGCUACAGUCAUUGUGAACGUGGCGGUGGCGGACAGCUUCCCUGAAGUGCUGUCAGAGUUCACUGACUUUACACACGACAAGGAGUACAAUGACAACCUGACUUUUUACUUAGUGCUGGCUUUGGCUGUAGUGUCCUUCCUCUUCAUCACGUGUUUGGUGGUCAUUAUAUCCGUGAAAAUCUACAGAUGGAGACAGUCUCGUAUCCUGUAUCACUCCAGUCUUCCAGUGAUUCCCUAUUAUCCUCCACGUUACUCAGACACUCUGGGCACAGGGACUCUUCCACACGUGUACAAUUACGAGGUGUGCAGGACGACUGACUCGAGAAAGAGUGACUGUAAGUUCGGCAGAGCUGGUAGUCAGAACGUGCUGAUAAUGGACCCCAGUUCUACAGGGACCAUGCAGAGGAUACAGAGUGAGAAGAGCAUCCUGGACGAACCAGACUCUCCACUGGAGGUAUCGUAACACCUGACAGAUGUCAUUGUUUUGUAUUUUUCCAUAUUGAUUGGUUGACUGGAAUUGACAUCUUAAACCUUUCAUUCAGCACCUCGGACAGCGCCCUUCACUGUCCGUGGCAUAUGUUUUUUUUUUUUUUUGUCAGCCGCUGAAAGCUGCCUUUAUUCAAGUGAUCAUAUUUCGACUUCAUAGUUUGUUACAGGUUGUAAACUUUCAAAUACAUGGUCUUCUACUCUUUUAUGUAUAUAUAUAUAUAUAUAUAUAUAUAUAUAUAUAUAUAUAUAUAUAUAUAUAUAUAUAUAUAUAUAUAUAUAUAUGUAUAUUUACGUGGUUUAUUUUUUAUCAGUUCAUGCUUUUUGAUUUAAUUGGUAACUCUGGAAUCUGAAACGUAAGGGAAGAAUUUUUCAGGUUUUGGAGCUGAGAGUUAAGAUCAUAUAUAACUUCUUCAACCCGUAUUAAAAUCUGCUUCCUUGUCUUUAAACGUACAUUGGUAACUUUUGAUUUAUACCAAAGUGCAUCAGUGUAAAUGUUAUGAGCUUUGUAAAUAAGUGUGACAUCAAUGAUUUGUGAAUGCAACAAAUGAGAGGCCAGAUAUAAUAUGAAUCAAAAUAGGGUUCCUUAAGUAAAAAAGAACUUAGUUUUAAACCAUGAAAACUACCUUGGAAAUAAUGUCAUGUAUAAACAGGGUAGAGUGCAGCAGAUAACGAAUAGCAUACAAAAAUAAAGGUAAGAGGAAAGGAUAACAAGAGUAAUAGUUCACAUGCAAGUGAAAGUAAUAGAGCUUUUGAUGAUAGUGAUUAUAACACUUCUCAAUCUUGUUAGAAAUUAUUCAUUCAUAUCGCCUUUCACAUCUUAUUCCUUAUUUUCAUCAUGAGUGAGACAUAACAUAGUUUUCUAACCGCAAUGGCAGUCACCUAUUAAAUAUAAAAAUACUACACUUAAAAGCAUAUUAAUGUGUUGUCGUGUAACCACAGCACUGUACUUGCAUCAUGGCAACUUGGAAGAUGUGUUUUUGGUGUUCAGAUUUCUCGCAUUGUCCAUUCAGUUGGAUUAUUUGUUUUAAAAUGCUGGCAUUUAUCGUGCUGAUUAACUGUUAAUGUGGACUUUGGUCUUUAAAACCCUUAAGGUCAAUUAUUGGUUAUCAGUAUUGAUCACCGGAUAUCGACGGAAUUUUUAUUCAGUCUAAAUGAUAGUACUGCGCUCAUGGCUGCACGUGAAUUUCUCAUUCUAGACUCUAAGGGACGCUGUUGGUCAGCAAAACAUUUAAGUCUUGUCGUCAUCCAGUCCAUCCUCCCUCUGAUACCAAAGGCUGUCUGUGUUUUAUGCGGUUUAAACGUUGUAGGGGAGAGCACAGUCUCACAGAUUUUCAUGUGAUAUUCGAAGAUCGUAUUUUGCCAGGACAAGGAUUUAAAGGAACCAGUUUCACCAUCAUUUCCACUGGAUACACACACUUGUUUUUUUUUUCUUUGUUGCUAUGAUGGCAGUUGAAGGAUUUCUCUUCGACAAAUGCGCAAGAUGGCGAGUAUUUCAAGGACUGCUACGGAAAUUACAAAUGCUGUUUUUCCUGCUGUGUGUUGCUAACGUGGUUGAUGGUCAGAUUCGUUAUUCUAUACCAGAGGAGAUGAAGAAAGGCUCUGUUAUCGGUAAUGUGGCUCAAGAUCUUGGUUUGGAUCUGAGAAGGCUCCGUUCAGGGCGGGCCCGUAUCGUGAGUGGAGAAAACAUCCAGUACACCGAGCUGAAGACAGACAAAGGGACUCUGGUCGUGAAUGAGAGAAUUGACCGAGAGCAGCUCUGUGGAGACACGACUCCGUGUAGCUUCAGCUUUGAGAUGAUUUUAGAGAAUCCAAUGGAACUACACAGAAUAACUGUCGAGGUUCUGGACAUAAAUGAUCACGCUCCUGUUUUCCCCAAAAUUGAUAAGCCUAUCCGCCUCGAGAUUAGUGAAUCAGCGCUGGUAGGAGUACAGUUUCCACUGCCGAGCGCAGAAGACUUAGAUGUUGGGCAAAACGCUCUACAAGAUUACAUUUUGUCAACCAACGACAAUUUUAUAUUGAAGCAACAUGCGAAUCCAGACGGAAAUAAAUAUGUAGAAAUGGUGCUCCAGAAGCCUUUAGACCGAGAGCGACAUCCACACUUGUCGUUAAAACUGAUCGCAGUCGACGGAGGAACACCACAAAGAUCUGGUACAGUAAAUAUAGAAAUCACUGUCUUAGAUGUAAAUGACAAUGUUCCGAUUUUUAACCAAUCAAUGUAUAAAGCCUCUGUGUUUGAAAACACAAUGAAGGGUGCAAGAAUUAUAACAGUAAACGCCACAGACGCUGACAGUGGUUCAAAUGGAGUCAUUAGUUAUAGUUUGUCUAAUACAAGAGGCAGUGCGGAAGAUUUGUUUAGCAUUGAUGAAAAAACAGGCGCUAUAUCUGUAAAUGGUCCUCUAGAUUAUGAAAAAGACAGAAAAUAUGAGGUGAGGGUGGAGGCUAGGGAUCAAGGUGGAUUAACAGGAACAAGUAAAGUUAUAUUUGAUGUUUUUGAUGUUAACGACAAUGCUCCAGUGAUCAACAUUAUGUCUUUUUCUAGUCCUGUAUCUGAAGAUGCUCCUCCUGGUACAACAAUAGCUAUUUUAAAUAUAAAAGAUGCGGAUUCUGAUAAAAAUGGACAAAUAAAAUGUUCAAUCGAUGGAAAACUGCCUUUCAAAAUCGUCUCAUCUCUGACAAACUAUUACAAUUUGAUCUCGGAUCAACAUUUUGAUAGAGAAUCUGUCUCAGAAUAUAACAUCACAAUAACAGCCACUGAUUUCGGUUCUCCGCCUCUUUCCACCUCCACAAAAUUGCACCUAAAGAUUUCUGACGUAAAUGACAACGCGCCAUUAUUUGAUAAAACAAUUUACUCUGCUUACAUCACAGAAAAUAAUCCACCUGGAGUAUCCAUAUUUACUGUCAGCGCGAGAGACUCAGAUUGGGGCCAAAAUGCAAGAAUCUCGUAUAUUUUAGAGGAUACACAGGUCAGUGGAAGUCCAGUCUCGACUUAUGUGAGUUUAAACUCUGAAACUGGAGUUCUCAGCGCAGUUCGUUCUCUUGAUUAUGAGCAAAUCAAAUAUCUUCAGCUGGUAGUCAAAGCUCAAGAUGGAGGCUCCCCUCCACUCAGCAGCAACGUGACAGUGAAAAUAAUGAUCCAGGACCAGAACGACAACCCUCCUCAGGUCCUGUACCCGGUCCAGACCGGUGGCUCUCUGGUUGCUGAGAUGGUUCCUCGUGCAGCAGAUGUGGGCUAUCUGGUGACUAAAGUGGUGGCUGUGGACGUGGACUCUGGACAGAAUGCCUGGCUGUCGUAUAAACUGCAGAAAGCCACAGACAGGGCGCUGUUUGAAGUGGGCUUACAGAAUGGAGAAAUCCGAACUAUCCGCCAAGUGAGUGAUAAAGAUGCUGUGAAACAAAGACUGACUGUGAUAGUGGAGGACAACGGGCAGCCGUCUCGUUCAGC
rnacentral:lncRNA from 1 species